CCUACGGGAGGCAGCAGUGAGGAAUAUUGGUCAAUGGACGAGAGUCUGAACCAGCAAAGUAGCGUGAGCGAUGACUGCCCUAUGGGUUGUAAACUUCUUUUAUAUGGGAGUAAAAUGUUCCACGUGUGGGGUUUUGUAUGUACCAUAUGAAUAAGGAUCGGCUAACUCCGUGCCAGCAGCCGCGGUAAUACGGAGGAUCCGAGCGUUAUCCGGAUUUAUUGGGUUUAAAGGGAGCGUAGGUGGAUUGUUAAGUCAGUUGGGAAAGUUUGCGGCUCAAACGGAAAAUUGCAGUUGAAACUGGGAGUCUUGAGUACAGUAGAGGUGAGCGGAAUUCGUGGUGUAGCGGUGAAAUGCGUAGAUAUCACGAAGAACACCGAUUGCGAAGGCAGCUCACUGGACUGUAACUGACACUGAGGCUCGAAAGUGUGGGUAUCAAACAGGAUUAGAUACCCUGGUAGUC
rnacentral:rRNA from 1 species